rnacentral:rRNA from 1 species
UACGUAGGGGGCAAGCGUUGUCCGGAAUUAUUGGGCGUAAGGAGCGCGUAGGCGGUCCGAUAAGUCGGCUGUGAAAGUCAGGGGCUCAACCCUUGAAAGCCGGCCGAUACUGUCGGACUAGAGUCCGGAAGAGGCAAGUGGAAUUCCCGGUGUAGCGGUGAAAUGCGCAGAUAUCGGGAGGAACACCAAUUGCGAAGGCAGCUUGCUGGGACGGUACUGACGCUGAGGCGCGAAAGCGUGGGGAGCAAACAGG